CCCCUAGAUGUUCUGGGCCGCACGCGCGCUACACUGAACAGUUCAACAAGUCUUAACCUUGGCCGAUAGGUCUGGGUAAUCUUUGAACGCUGUUCGUGAUUGGGAUAGACCCUUGCAAUUAUGGGUCUUCAACGAGGAAUUCCUAGUAAACGCAAGUCAUCAGCUUGCAUUGAUUACGUCCCUGCCCUUUGUACACACCGCCCGUCGCACCUACCGAUUGAAUGGUCCGGUGAAAUCUCGGGACGGCGGCUUGGUCGCUUGCGUCCGACUGCUGAAACUUGAUUAAACCAUAUCAUUUAGAGGAAGGUGAANUCGUANCA
rnacentral:rRNA from 1 species